UCUUGGCCGCAACGCCGCGCGCGGCGCGGGACACUGACGUCACGCGGCAGCAUGGCGGGCAGCGGGCGCCGGCCGGAGCACCGGGGGCCGCCCGAGCUGUUCUACGAUGAGACCGAGGCGCGGAAGUACACGCAGAACUCGCGGGUGGUGGAGAUCCAGUCGCAGAUGUCGGAGCGGGCCGUGGAGCUGCUGGGGCUGCCGCAGGACCGGCCGUGCCUCCUCCUGGACGUCGGCUGCGGCUCUGGGCUGAGUGGGGAUUACAUCUCCGAGGAGGGUCACUACUGGAUUGGCAUGGACAUCAGCCCUGCCAUGCUCGAUGUGGCUGUGGAGAGGGAGGUGGAAGGAGACCUUCUCCUUGCAGACGUGGGUGAUGGCAUUCCCUUCAGGCCUGGCAUGUUUGAUGGCUGUAUCAGUAUUUCUGCAGUGCAGUGGCUUUGUAAUGCUGAUAAGAAAUCGCACAGCCCUCCAAAACGCCUGUAUCGAUUCUUCUCAACUCUUUAUACUGCCUUGGCCCGAGGAUCCCGAGCCGUCCUGCAGCUGUACCCUGAGAACUCAGAACAGCUGGAGCUCAUUACUGCCCAGGCCAUGAGAGCUGGCUUUACCGGGGGAAUGGUGGUAGAUUACCCAAACAGCACCAAAGCCAAGAAGUUCUUCCUUUGUCUCUUUGUUGGGGCAUCUGGCACGUUACCAAAGGGCCUUGGUACCGAGUGUGCUGAUGGAGAAGAGGUGCACCAGGCAAAGUUCACCAAUGAGAGGUAUUGUGUAGGAGGACACGGUUCAGAAAUGCCAAGGGCAAGUCUGUGAAGAAAAGCCGGGACUGGAUUCUUGAGAAGAAGGAACGUAGACGACGACAGGGCAAAGAAGUGCGAGCAGACACAAAAUACACGGGUCGAAAGCGCCGCCCUCGCUUCUGAAUUGCUUUGGACACUGCUGCUGUGGAAUAUAGUGUGUUGAUGCCUCCAGCCAGCCUCCCGUGGAUGGCACAGGUGGACACUUCAGGCCUGGGACUUGCUGGGACAGAUCUUUGUGGCUCUUGGAGGUAUAAACUGGGCCCAGUACUGUCCAACAGCCAACUGCAGGGCUUCCAGCCAUGUUUUCCUGGUGAAGGCAGACAGUGCUCAGGCCACUUGGUGUCUGCAGUGCCAUUGUUUAUGUUCUUGAGAGUGCACUGAACCAUCUGGAGCUCCAGGUGAGGCAGAACAUUAUGUCCACCCCCCACUAAACAGUCACUGACUCAGAACUGGUCUCCUGGAUCUUGUGCUCAGUGCAGGGGAGUGCUGAGGUAGGAACAGAGCACCUACUUCCCUGCCAGCUUUCCCUCUGCCCUCAGGCAGGAAACCAGGCACCAUAAAGGUGUGUGUCCCACGAGGGCAAAUCCUCCCGGCAAAAGUGCUAUUCCUGUGGCAAUUGGUGCUGUGGGCGCUUCGCACCAGGCCCAGCUUGUAUGCUUUAGUUCUCUCAGGGCUGUCUGCACCCUAGCCCUUGUUCCCCAUCAUCUUCUCCCUUCCCCUGAAACAGAGGUGCCAGCCAGAGCUUUACAGUUACAAAUGUUUAUUCUACAUAAAAAUUCCACAAAAUGGGAAGCUGUUUUGCACCCAAAGCUUUGGGAGAAGGGGAGGCUAGCAGGAAGGGAAAGGGGGAAGGAGAAAAGAGGCAACAUACAGUGUCAUCCAGCCCAGUGAGACAGAGCAAGCCAGGGUCAAGAUCCACAUAGAAAACAAGGACACUUAGCUCACAGUACAGCAACAGUACAACUCCACGGGGAGGGGGGACUUGGAAAGCUUUCAAGUACAUUUAAUUACUAAAAAAACCCCAAAAUAAUCCCCAGUUCGAGUGCAAGCUGUGCGUGCCCCACACUGCUCGUGGAAUACUGCAUCGACACGCUCCCGGUGCUGGGAGGGCAGGUGGCACUUGGAACAGAGGUGGGGUAACCCGAAGGACAAGCGGUCUGAGGUGGGGGGCUGGAAAGAAAAAGUGAAAUGUGUCCCCAAAGCACAACCACACUGUUGGUGAUUUGGUCUGUACAUGCAACAACAGGUAGGUAAAAAGGAACUGAGCGGGGCUUCCCAUAGUGCAGGGGUAAUUAUUGCACCAAAA